rnacentral:rRNA from 1 species
CCUACGGGAGGCAGCAGUGAGGAAUAUUGGUCAAUGGUCGAGAGCCUGAACCAGCCAAGUCGCGUGAAGGAUGAAGGCUCUAUGGUUUGUAAACUUCUUUUAUAUGGGGAUAAAGUGCGGCACGUGUUCCUUUUUGUAUGUACCAUAUGAAUAAGCAUCGGCUAACUCCGUGCCAGCAGCCGCGGUAAUACGGAGGAUGCGAGCGUUAUCCGGAUUUAUUGGGUUUAAAGGGUGCGUAGGUGGUUAGUUAAGUCAGCGGUGAAAGGUUGUGGCUCAACCAUAGAAUUGCCGUGGAAACUGGUUGACUUGAGUAUAUUUGAGGUAGGCGGAAUGCGUGGUGUAGCGGUGAAAUGCAUAGAUAUCACGAAGAACUCCGAUUGCGAAGGCAGCUUACUAAACUAUAACUGACGCUGAAGCACGAAAGCGUGGGGAUCAAACAGGAUUAGAUACCCGAGUAGUC